rnacentral:rRNA from 1 species
AGAGUUUGAUCCUGGCUCAGGACGAACGCUGGCGGCGUGCUUAACACAUGCAAGUCGAACGGAAAGGCCCUGCUUUUGUGGGGUGCUCGAGUGGCGAACGGGUGAGUAACACGUGAGUAACCUGCCCUUGACUUUGGGAUAACUUCAGGAAACUGGGGCUAAUACCGGAUAGGAGCUCCUGCUGCAUGGUGGGGGUUGGAAAGUUUCGGCGGUUGGGGAUGGACUCGCGGCUUAUCAGCUUGUUGGUGGGGUAGUGGCUUACCAAGGCUUUGACGGGUAGCCGGCCUGAGAGGGUGACCGGCCACAUUGGGACUGAGAUACGGCCCAGACUCCUACGGGAGGCAGCAGUGGGGAAUAUUGCACAAUGGGCGGAAGCCUGAUGCAGCAACGCCGCGUGCGGGAUGACGGCCUUCGGGUUGUAAACCGCUUUCGCCUGUGACGAAGCGUGAGUGGCGGUAAUGGGUAAAGAAGCACCGGCUAACUACGUG